AUUGAACGCUGGCGGCAGGCCUAACACAUGCAAGUCGAGCGGAUGAAGGGAGCUUGCUCCUGGAUUCAGCGGCGGACGGGUGAGUAAUGCCCAGGAAUCUGCCUGGUAGUGGGGGAUAACGUCCGGAAACGGGCGCUAAUACCGCAUACGUCCUGAGGGAGAAAGUGGGGGAUCUUCGGACCUCACGCUAUCAGAUGAGCCUAGGUCGGGUUAGCUAGUUGGUGGGGUAAAGGCCUACCAAGGCGACGAUCCGUAACUGGUCUGAGAGGAUGAUCAGUCACACUGGAACUGAGACACGGUCCAGACUCCUACGGGAGGCAGCAGUGGGGAAUAUUGGACAAUGGGCGAAAGCCUGAUCCAGCCAUGCCGCGUGUGUGAAGAAGGUCUUCGGAUUGUAAAGCACUUUAAGUUGGGAGGAAGGGCAGUAAGUUAAUACCUUGCUGUUUUGACGUUACCAACAGAAUAAGCACCGGCUAACUUCGUG
rnacentral:rRNA from 1 species